rnacentral:lncRNA from 1 species
GCUCAGAUGCGCCGCUUUCCACGGGACCUUUGUUGGGCCUUUGUGAAGCGGCUUGGAACCUAAUAAAUAACGUCAGAAGUCUGCCUCGCAGCCAAAAAUGUUCCUUUCGCAGCAUUUCUAAUGGUAUUUUUGUUCUGCAGCGUCUCCCAGUGUCACAAAGCAUUUGUGCCGCGCGGCGGGGGUGGGUGCGCCGCGUGCCGCCGGGAUGGCCUGCGGGGCCCGGCCGCCGGCGGGUUCACCCAGGCAGGUAAGGGCGGCCCGCCGGCCUGGGGCUUCCGAGGCCUGUAGAACGGCCAGGGCAGGCUGCAAAACACAGCCGAAAGCCUGCGAUUUAACAGUUCCCGUGAAAUUUGAUUGCUCCUCGGGCGCCAGGGGAGUUCUGCAGGAUGGCCGAAGCUGGAUCCUAGUUGGAGGUCUCGGAGCACUGGGAAAACCUUCUAAAGCACUCUGACCUGCAAAAAGAGAGAUGGGAACGACAAGGCGGGACAUUUUGCCAGUCUAGUUGGAAUCUGGUUUUCAGUAGAUCUGAAAGGACAGAAUAUUGCGCUCUGUGGAAAAUGGCGAAAUAUCUGUGAUUUGAAUUGAAAAAUUAAGAUUAAAUUUAAAUGUUUAGAGGGGAGGGGAAUAGAAAAAAAGAAGACGGAAGAUAUAUCCUGUACAGGUACCAAGUCCCUAUGAUGAAUGUGAUCAUUAUGUACAUCUAAAACGUACCAAUAAAAUAAAAAGAAAAUGACAGGCAAAAGUACUUGCGAUGUUCAAACAAGGACACAUUAAGUUAGAUAAAGUGGUUCAUGUAGGUUUCCUUUCCAAGUUGGUUCCUUUCUGUG